UGAAGAUGUGAAGCUAUUUUGCUUCUGGGUGGAAUGUUGUCUGGUUCAAGGUCUUGCCAUGUGAUUUGAGGAUGAACGGUUUGUGCAUGCAUAACUUUCAUUUCUCUUGUUUGCGGGAUCUCGGACCAGGCUUCAUUCCCCUCAGAGAUAGCUUCAAACUCGAGAUCUAGCC